rnacentral:rRNA from 1 species
CACGAAGUUAGCCGGGGCUUCUUCUCACGCUACCGUCAUCAUCGUCGCGUGCGAAAGGGCUUUACAACCCGAAGGCCUUCAUCACUCACGCGGCAUUGCUGGAUCAGGCUUGCGCCCAUUGUCCAAUAUUCCCCACUGCUGCCUCCCGUAGGAGUCUGGGCCGUGUCUCAGUCCCAGUGUGGCUGAUCAUCCUCUCAGACCAGCUAAGGAUCGUUGCCUUGGUAGGCCGUUACCCCACCAACAAGCUAAUCCUACGCGGGCCCAUCCCAUGGCGAUAAAUCUUUGUCCCUCAAGACACAUACGGUAUUAGCUCCAGUUUCCCGGAGUUAUUCCGUACCACAGGGCAGGUUCCCACGCGUUACUCACCCGUGCGCCACUAGGGCCGAAGCCCUCGUUCGACUUGCAUGUGUUAGGCAUGCCGCCAGCGUUCGUUCUGAGCCAGGAUCAAACUCU